rnacentral:SRP_RNA from 1 species
CGUCAGGGGCUAUGGAUCGUUGACAUACGAACCCCGCCAGGGCAGGAAUGCAGCAACGGUAGUAUGCUCUUCGUUGCCGUAGUCCUCUGACGGCC